GUUAAAAGGCAGCGGAGAGAGCUGCUACGAGGUCACACACACAAGGAGACUGAGGGCUGAUGUUGGCCUCAAGGUGACAAGCCACCAGGACCAGGAGCUUGCUCUGGCCUCAUGGGCAGGACUCAGUAUAUCACCGUUAGACACUGGCCAGAUCAGCAGCACUUGACCGGGGAGGACAGACGUCUCCUGGGUGAUUUUAUACCUCAUUUGAUGAGACAGUUCAUAGAUGUGAAGCCACUGGGAGUAAUUAAGAAGGAUCACAACAAUUCCUCUCCAGCAAACCAUUUUGGACACUUGUUUUUCAAACAAAGGACAGGGUGGCUUGCACGAAAAACAGUUCUAUGCUGGACUCACUCAGGCAGCAUCAUAUCAAAGGUAGAAGAGACGUUAUCAUCCCCUGCUUAAUGGAAUAACUUGGAGAGUCUGGAGAGGACCUCAUCAAGGACUACCAGCAGGGAAGCCAAAGAGGACUUCUCUCAUCAUGACUUUAGGAUCAGAAGGAAAUACAGCACAGGAAGGCCACAACCCUGACAAUGUCGUUCAUCAUCAAGGGAAAAGAGGUUCUUGAUGACUGUUGCAAAUGAUUACCUGUUGCUCAAAGGUCUAAAAGAACAGAUUUUUUUUGGGAAAUAACUUACUGUAAUACUGUUUUGUAUUUCUUACAAAGCUAUUGCAUUUUACAGUGACACUUCAUUGAAAAUGUAAUCUGCAGAUAUACAAAUUGUUUUAUAUAUCGGGCCACACUGUCGAUCAUGAGGCAACUUUGUAUGGCUAAAAGAGUGUAUGUUCUGUUGUGGCAGUGGUUACAAAAUAUGCAAGCAUUGCAGGCUAGCUGAAAUAAACCUACUUCAAGGCCUUAAAGGGUUAGUUUGGAUUAUUUGAUAUGUGAUUGUAUGAGGUUCAUGGUGAAACAGCAUGGAGGCAAAGUAAUGAUGUGCCAUGGACGGGGUAAGCAAAAAAGGUAUUUUAGCAAGUUAAAAGACCAACUACAUGAAAACGCCAUAGGAGAUCUCACAUAUUUUUGUUUGUGUUAUUGUAUAACUUUGGGAAUCCGAACUGUCCCUAAAACACUGAAGUCACACAAUAACACAAACAAGCUAAGGAUCUAGGCUGGCACCUUUUUUAAAUGUCUAAAAUGCAUUUGUUGCUGACCCCACCCAGAGCAGUUUAUUACUUAACUUCUGUGCUGGUGCCUGUCUCUGCUUCUUCUAACUGGGGAUUUGCUGACCGCUAUCUACUGUAGUUUAUAUACACUGACUAUAGAAAAAAAUACCUCAUACAGUCACACAUUUAAUAAUCCUAUCAAACUGUUUAAGAGGUAAAAUGCAUUAGAAAGGUCACAUGUCCGAUUUGAAAAUGUUUUAGUCGGACUAAGUGUUUAAAAUGAAAGUCUGCAGUACUGAUGCUAGCACUGAUUUAGAUAUGAUUUAAUGCCCACCAGAUUGUAUCUGUGAAAACCAACCUCUUACAUCAGUGAAGGAGGGGGAAUAAAAGGUGCUGUUUCUGUAAAAACAUCUGUUAUUUCAUGUUUUAUAGAAGUCUUACAUUAAAACAAUCGUAUUGACAAAAGUAGCUCAUGUUAAAAAUUCAACAAAUCCAUAGUAUAACAGUGCUAUAAAGUAGAUCAAAUUUUAUGUAAAUAUUAAUUCUGAAAUGUCUGGAUAUAAAGUAAAUAAAAGGUAGUUCAUUCAAAAUUAUUCUAACUCUAAUUCACUAGCAAAAUGUUAGUACAUUUUGUACAUAAGGGUUAAAAUUGCCAGUAACAUCUACUUCUAUUCUUUAUCUACAAAUUC